CCGGUGAUUAGCCACAAGACAGCAGUGCACGCAGAGUCACCAAAGCGGUAGGUGCUGCCGGUUGUCUCUCUCAUUUGCCGGACGCUGCUCUUUAAAUGUACAGAUGAUGACUUGAUGAUGGAGGAUCCAACAAAUAACCCAGGAGUUUUCUCCUGGUGAAAUGACCCAUGCUGCACUGCACUACACCAGUCCAGAAAUGUUAUUCUGAACAUUGUGGUGACUGCCCCCGUGCUGGCCGCUGCCCCUGGACUGCCCCCGUGCUGGCCGCUGCCCCUGGACUGCCCCCGUGCUGGCCGCUGCCCCUGGACUGCCCCCGUGCUGGCCGCUGCCCCUGGACUGCCCCCGUGCUGGCCGCUGCCCCUGGACUGCCCUGUGCUGAAGAAAAAUUUUUAAUACCAUUAAGUUUACAUUAAUAAAUGUUUGAAUGUCA